UGAGUAACCUGCCCUUAACUCUGGGAUAAGCCUGGGAAACUGGGUCUAAUACCGGAUAUGACUCCUCAUCGCAUGGUGGGGGGUGGAAAGCUUUUUGUGGUUUUGGAUGGACUCGCGGCCUAUCAGCUUGUUGGUGAGGUAAUAGCUCACCAAGGCGAUGACGGGUAGCCGGCCUGAGAGGGUGACCGGCCACACUGGGACUGAGACACGGCCCAGACUCCUACGGGAGCAG
rnacentral:rRNA from 1 species